ensembl:lncRNA novel transcript
AGCCUUGUGGCCGAAGGGCUGGGACUGGCCAUGAGAUUACAUGUCCUAGCAUGCUCAGCCAGGCGCGCGCAGCUCUGCCCCUUCCUCCAGUGAUGCGCACAGUCCCUGAUCCCUGUGCACGCUGGGAUUGUAGUCCUGCAGCCCUGCGAUCACUUGCAGGUAACAAGAAAUUUCAGCUUCCGGCAUGAUGGGCGAAGGCCCCCACCUUCAGCCUCGCUCCUCCAUGCCUUCAGAGCUGUUCCGCCAUGCAGACGGGGAGCCUGCCUGUUCUUUAACCUCUCCUACCUGAUGGGAGAGGACAAGCUACCAGGACAGCUUGUCUCACCAAGAAAUUGUGAUACCGCAUCCCCCAACGUGCUGGCUUCCUGACUUCCAAAGUUGCGGCAAGGUAAGAAGAACUACAGAGGAAGAACCUAAUGCAGACGUUUCCCAGGAGACUUUAACUGAAGUAUCAGCAAACUGAAAGGGACCAUUGCAAUUUAGAGACGUGGCCAUAGAAUUCUCUCUGGAGGAGUGGCAUUGCCUGGACACUGCACAGUGGAAUUUAUAUAGGGAUGUGAUGUUAGAGAACUACAGACACCUGGUCUUCCUUGACCUUUGGCCAGAGCAGAGCAUAAAAGAUUCUUUCCAAAAAGUGAUACUUAGAAGAUAUGAAAAAUGUGGAUAUGACAAUUUACAGUUAAAAAAAGGCUGUGAAAGUGUGGAUGAGCAUGAGCUGCUCAAAAGAGGUAAUAAUGGUCUUCACCACAGUCUGACAACUACCCAGAGAAAAAUAUUUCAAUGUGAUAAAUAUGGGACAGUCUUUCAGAAAUUUUCAAAUUGAAACAGACCUAAGAUACGACAUACUGGAAAAAAAUCUUUCAAAUGUAUAGUAUGCGGCAAAGCUUUUAACUCGUCCUCAAACCUUACUACACAUAAGAAAAUUCAUACUGGAGAGAAACCCUACAGAUGUGAAGAAUGUGGCAAAGCCUUCAAAAGGUCCUCACACCUUACUGUACAUAAGAUAGUUCAUACUGGAGAGAAAUCCUACAAAUGUGAAGAAUGCGGGAAAGCCUUUAAGCACCCCUCACAUGUUACUGCACAUAAGAAAAUUCAUACUGGAGGGAAACCCUACAAAUGUGAAGAAUGUGGCAAAGACUUUAAGUACACUUCUACCCUUAUUGCACAUAAGAGAAUUCAUACUGGAGAGAAGCCCUACAAAUGUGAAGAAUGUGGCAAAGACUUUUAAGUGCACUUCUAACCUUACUACACAUAAGAGAAUUCAUACUGGAGAGAAGCCCUACAAAUGUAAAGAAUGUGGCAAAGCUUUUCACCUAUCCUCACACCUUACUACACAUAAGAUACUUCAUACUGGAGAGAAGCCCUACAGGUGUAAAGAAUGUGGCAAAGCUUUUAACCAUUCCACAAUCCUUUUUUCACACAAAAAAAUUCAUACUGGAGAGAAAUUCUACAAAUGUGAUGAAUGUGGCAAAACCUUUACCUGGCCCUCACUACUCUCUAAACACAGGAGAACUCAUACUGGAGAGAAACCCUACAAAUGUGAAGUGUGUGGCAAAGCCUUUACUGCAUCCUUAACUCUAACUGAACAUCAGAGAAUUCAUACUGGAGAGAAACCUUACAAAUGUGAAGAAUGUGGCAAAGCUUUUAACUGGUCCUCAUACCUUCAUAAACAUAAGAGAAUUCAUAUUGCACAGAAACCCUACAUAGUGAAGAAUGUGGCAAACAUUUUAAAUAUUCCUCCACUUUUAAUAAGCAUAAGAUAAUUCAUACUGGAGAGAAACUGGAUGAAUGUGGGAAAGCCUUUAACCAGCCCUCGACUCUUACUAACUAUGAGAAUUUAUAUGGAACAUAAACUCAUACAAAUAUAACAAAUAUAAAAAAUGUGA